rnacentral:rRNA from 1 species
UGGGGAAUAUUGCACAAUGGGGGGAACCCUGACGCAGCCAUGCCGCGUGAAUGAAGAAGGCCUUCGGGUUGUAAAGUUCUUUCGGUAUUGAGGAAGGUUGAUGUGUUAAUAGCACAUCAAAUUGACGUUAAAUACAGAAGAAGCACCGGCUAACUCCGUGCCAGCAGCCGCGGUAAUACGGAGGGUGCGAGCGUUAAUCGGAAUAACUGGGCGUAAAGGGCACGCAGGCGGCUAUUUAAGUGAGGUGUGAAAGCCCUGGGCUUAACCUAGGAAUUGCAUUUCAGACUGGGUAACUAGAGUACUUUAGGGAGGGGUAGAAUUCCACGUGUAGCGGUGAAAUGCGUAGAGAUGUGGAGGAAUACCGAAGGCGAAGGCAGCCCCUUGGGAAUGUACUGACGCUCAUGUGCGAAAGCGUGGGGAGCAAACAGGAUUAGAUACCCUGGUAGUCCACGCUGUAAACGCUGUCGAUUUGGGGGUUGGGGUUUAACUCUGGCGCCCGUAGCUAACGUGAUAAAUCGACCGCCUGGGGAGUACGGCCGCAAGGUUA